rnacentral:rRNA from 1 species
GAUGAACGCUGGCGGCGUGCCUAAUACAUGCAAGUCGAGUGAACAGACGAGGAGCUUGCUCCUCUGACGUUAGCGGCGGACGGGUGAGUAACACGUGGAUAACCCACCUAUAAGACUGGGAUAACUUCGGGAAACCGGAGCUAAUACCGGAUAAUAUAUUGAACCGCAUGGUUCAAUAGUGAAAGACGGUUUUGCUGUCACUUAUAGAUGGAUCCGCGCCGCAUUAGCUAGUUGGUAAGGUAACGGCUUACCAAGGCGACGAUGCGUAGCCGACCUGAGAGGGUGAUCGGCCACACUGGAACUGAGACACGGUCCAGACUCCUACGGGAGGCAGCAGUAGGGAAUCUUCCGCAAUGGGCGAAAGCCUGACGGAGCAACGCCGCGUGAGUGAUGAAGGUCUUCGGAUCGUAAAACUCUGUUAUUAGGGAAGAACAAAUGUGUAAGUAACUAUGCACGUCUUGACGGUACCUAAUCAGAAAGCCACGGCUAACUACGUG